rnacentral:sRNA from 1 species
ACCAUUCCCGUGACGGUAAGUCCGGGCGCGACCGUAUUGGCUCUGACGCCGAACUUGCCGAGGUCACAG